ACAGGAAGAAGCUUGCUUCUUUGCUGACGAGUGGCGGACGGGUGAGUAAUGUCUGGGAAACUGCCUGAUGGAGGGGGAUAACUACUGGAAACGGUAGCUAAUACCGCAUAACGUCGCAAGACCAAAGAGGGGGACCUUCGGGCCUCUUGCCAUCGGAUGUGCCCAGAUGGGAUUAGCUAGUAGGUGGGGUAACGGCUCACCUAGGCGACGAUCCCUAGCUGGUCUGAGAGGAUGACCAGCCACACUGGAACUGAGACACGGUCCAGACUCCUACGGGAGGCAGCAGUGGGGAAUAUUGCACAAUGGGCGCAAGCCUGAUGCAGCCAUGCCGCGUGUAUGAAGAAGGCCUUCGGGUUGUAAAGUACUUUCAGCGGGGAGGAAGGGAGUAAAGUUAAUACCUUUGCUCAUUGACGUUACUCGCAGAAGAAGCACCGGCUAACUCCGUGCCAGCAGCCGCGGUAAUACGGAGGGUGCAAGCGUUAAUCGGAAUUACUGGGCGUAAAGCGCACGCAGGCGGUUU
rnacentral:rRNA from 1 species